AGGACGAACGCUGGCGGCGUGCUUAACACAUGCAAGUCGAGCGAGGCCCCACCUUCGGGUGGGUGUCCUAGCGGCGAACGGGUGAGUAACACGUGGGCAACCUGCCCCUAGCACUGGGAUAACUCCGGGAAACCGGGGCUAAUACCGGAUACGACUUCGGAAGGCAUCUUCUGAAGUGGAAAGGGUUACUGGCUAGGGAUGGGCCCGCGGCCUAUCAGCUUGUUGGUGGGUAACGCCUACCAAGGCUCCGACGGGUAGCCGGCCUGAGAGGGCGACCGGCCACGACUGGGACUGAGACACGGCCCAGACUCCUACGGGAGGCAGCAGUGGGGAAUAUUGCACAAUGGGCGAAAGCCUGAUGCAGCGACGCCGCGUGAGGGAUGACGGCCUUCGGUGUAAACCUCUUUCAGCAGGGACGAAGCGAAAGUGACGGUACCUGCAGAAGAAGCACCGGCCAACUACGUGCCAGCAGCCGC
rnacentral:rRNA from 1 species